UACAGAGGGUGCAAGCGUUAAUCGGAAUUACUGGGCGUAAAGCGUGCGCAGGCGGUUAUGCAAGACAGGUGUGAAAUCCCCGAGCUCAACUUGGGAACUGCACUUGUGACUGCAAGGCUAGAGUACGGCAGAGGGGGAUGGAAUUCCGCGUGUAGCAGUGAAAUGCGUAGAUAUGCGGAGGAACACCAAUGGCGAAGGCAAUCCCCUGGGCCUGUACUGACGCUCAUGCACGAAAGCGUGGGGAGCAAACAGG
rnacentral:rRNA from 1 species